rnacentral:sRNA from 1 species
AUUUAUAUGAAAUACAAAUUAUGCUUUUAGAACGCUUCUCUACACCUGCUUACCAGCUAGUUUCAUGAAGUUUCCAUUCAUAAUUAUUCCUCACAUAAGUAAUUCUUUUCCCGGCUAUACACGCAUUAUGCGAAUUAUUUGUUAAAAAAUUAGGAUAUAAUCAUGUCUAAAUCUACUGGUACCGUUAAGUGGUUCAACGAAGAGAAAGGUUUCGGUUUCAUCACUCAGGACAACGGCGGCGCUGACGUAUUCGUUCACUUCCGUGCUAUCGCUUCUGAAGGUUUCAAGACUCUUGCUGAAGGUCAGAAAGUUUCUUUCGAAACUGAGCAAGGCCAAAAAGGUCUUCAGGCAGCUAACGUAGUUAAGCUGUAAUUUAAAGAUUAUUCUUUAAAUGACAAAAUGCUGGCCAAGGCCAGCAUUUUUUG